rnacentral:rRNA from 1 species
GAUGAACGCUGGCGGCGUGCCUAAUACAUGCAAGUCGAGCGAACGGACGAGAAGCUUGCUUCUCUGAUGUUAGCGGCGGACGGGUGAGUAACACGUGGAUAACCUACCUAUAAGACUGGGAUAACUUCGGGAAACCGGAGCUAAUACCGGAUAAUAUUUUGAACCGCAUGGUUCAAAAGUGAAAGACGGUCUUGCUGUCACUUAUAGAUGGAUCCGCGCUGCAUUAGCUAGUUGGUAAGGUAACGGCUUACCAAGGCAACGAUGCAUAGCCGACCUCAGAGGGUGAUCGGCCACACUGGAACUGAGACACGGUCCAGACUCCUACGGGAGGCAGCAGUAGGGAAUCUUCCGCAAUGGGCGAAAGCCUGACGGAGCAACGCCGCGUGAGUGAUGAAGGUCUUCGGAUCGUAAAACUCUGUUAUUAGGGAAGAACAUAUGUGUAAGUAACUGUGCACAUCUUGACGGUACCUAAUCAGAAAGCCACGGCUAACUACGUGC